GAUGAACGCUGGCGGCGUGCCUAAUAUAUGCAAGUCGAGCGAACAGACGAGGAGCUUGCUCCUCUGACGUUAGCGGCGGACGGGUGAGUAACACGUGGAUAACCUACCUAUCAGACUGGGAUAACUUCGGGAAACCGGCGCUAAUACCGUAUAAUUUAUUGAACCACAUGGUUCAAUAGUGAAAGACGGUUUUGCUGUCACUUAUAGAUGGAUCCGCGCCACAUUCGCUAGUUGGUAAGCUAACGUCUUACCAAGGCUACAAUGCAUAACCGAACUGCGAGGGUGACGGGCCAAGCUGCGACAGGGACACGGUCCAGCAUAAUACGGCACGCAGCAGUAGGGAAUCUUCGGGAAAGGGUGAAAGACUAACGAAGAACCGUCAGGAUAGUCCUGACGGACUUCGGAUAGUAAACGCCUGUUAGUAGGGACGAAACACUGUGUCAGUAUGUAUGCCCGUAUUGACGGUAAAUACUCAGAAAGCCACGGCUAACUACGUG
rnacentral:rRNA from 1 species